GAAAGGGGUUUUCUGUUAUGAGUGCCGCACAUAGGGCAAUUUGUUCUUCCUGAGGAAUCGAUAUCAAGAAAUUUUGGAAGCAUAUUUUUUUGUACUUAGGCAGCUGGUAAUCAUCAGUCCUGGUACCCCA